AAUAGAUACCCAGGUAGUCCACGCCGUAAACGAUGAGUGCUAAGUGUUAGAGGGUUUCCGCCUUUUAGUGCUGCAGCUAACGCAUUAAGCACUCCGCCUGGGGAGUACGGCCGCAAGGCUGAAACUCAAAGGAAUUGACGGGGGCCCGCACAAGCGGUGGAGCAUGUGGUUUAAUUCGAAGCAACGCGAAGAACCUUACCAGGUCUUGACAUCCUCUGCCAACCCUAGAGAUAGGGCGUUCCCCUUCGGGGGACAGAGUGACAGGUGGUGCAUGGUUGUCGUCAGCUCGUGUCGUGAGAUGUUGGGUUAAGUCCCGCAACGAGCGCAACCCUUGAUCUUAGUUGCCAGCAUUCAGUUGGGCACUCUAAGGUGACUGCCGGUGACAAACCGGAGGAAGGUGGGGAUGACGUCAAAUCAUCAUGCCCCUUAUGACCUGGGCUACACACGUGCUACAAUGGAUGGUACAAAGAGCUGCGAACCCGCGAGGGUAAGCGAAUCUCAUAAAGCCAUUCUCAGUUCGGAUUGU
rnacentral:rRNA from 1 species